AGGUGGUGCAUGGUUGUCGUCAGCUCGUGUCGUGAGAUGUUGGGUUAAGUCCCGGCAACGAGCGCAACCCUCGACCUUAGUUGCCAGCAUUCAGUUGGGCACUCUAGUGAGACUGCCGGUGACAAACCGGAGGAAGGUGGGGAUGACGUCAAGUCCUCAUGGCCCUUAUGGGUAGGGCUUCACACGUCAUACAAUGGUCGGUACAGAGGGUUGCCAAGCCGCGAGGUGGAGCCAAUCCCUUAAAGCCGAUCGUAGUCCGGAUCGUAGUCUGCAACUCGACUACGUGAAGUCGGAAUCGCUAGUAAUCGCAGAUCAGCAUGCUGCGGUGAAUACGUUCCCGGGUCUU
rnacentral:rRNA from 1 species